AGUGAACGCUGGCGGUAGGCCUAACACACGCAAGUCGAACGGCAGCACAGUAAGAGCUUGCUCUUACGGGUGGCGAGUGGCGGACGGGUGAGGAAUACAUCGGAAUCUACUUUUUCGUGGGGGAUAACGUAGGGAAACUUACGCUAAUACCGCAUACGACCUACGGGUGAAAGCAGGGGAUCUUCGGACCUUGCGCGAUUGAAUGAGCCGAUGUCGGAUUAGCUAGUUGGCGGGGUAAAGGCCCACCAAGGCGACGAUCCGUAGCUGGUCUGAGAGGAUGAUCAGCCACACUGGAACUGGAACACGGUCCAGACUCCUACGGGAGGCAGCAGUGGGGAAUAUUGGACAAUGGGCGCAAGCCUGAUCCAGCCAUACCGCGUGGGUGAAGAAGGCCUUCGGGUUGUAAAGCCCUUUUGUUGGGAAAGAAAAGCAGCAGGUUAAUACCCCGCUGUUCUGACGGUACCCAAAGAAUAAGCACCGGCUAACUUCGUG
rnacentral:rRNA from 1 species